ACCCUCCAGAAUCCUCACCCAUCGUGUCUAAACGUUGGUCUGCGUGGCUUUGAAAGGAGGAAAAGUAGAACUGAAGUGGAAGUGGACUUGGAUUCUUGAGCGACAUACAAGUUCGUUUCCAACAAAU
rnacentral:snoRNA from 1 species